rnacentral:rRNA from 2 species
UAUUCCUACGGGAGGCAGCAGUAGGGAAUCUUCCGCAAUGGACGAAAGUCUGACGGAGCAACGCCGCGUGAACGAUGAAGGCCUUCGGGUCGUAAAGUUCUGUUGUUAGGGAAGAACAAGUACCAGAGUAACUGCUGGUACCUUGACGGUACCUAACCAGAAAGCCACGGCUAACUACGUGCCAGCAGCCGCGGUAAUACGUAGGUGGCAAGCGUUGUCCGGAAUUAUUGGGCGUAAAGCGCGCGCAGGCGGUUUCUUAAGUCUGAUGUGAAAGCCCACGGCUCAACCGUGGAGGGUCAUUGGAAACUGGGGAACUGAGGCAGAAGAGAGAGCGAUUGCCU